GAAUGCGCUCCACUUAUCCCGAGUGGCCAAAGGGAGCAGACUGUAAAUCUGCCGGCUCCGCCUUCGAUGGUUCGAAUCCGUCCCCCUCCACCA
rnacentral:tRNA from 1 species